rnacentral:tRNA from 3 species
GGGGAAGUGCUGGAAUUGGCAGACAGGCAUGACUUAGGAUCAUGUGCCGCGAGGCGUGAGGGUUCAAGUCCCUCUUUCCCCA